rnacentral:rRNA from 1 species
AUACGUAGGUGGCAAGCGUUGUCCGGAUUUAUUGGGCGUAAAGCGAGUGCAGGCGGUCUUUUAAGUCUGAUGUGAAAGCCUUCGGCUUAACCGAAGAAGUGCAUCGGAAACUGGGAAACUUGAGUGCAGAAGAGGACAGUGGAACUCCAUGUGUAGCGGUGAAAUGCGUAGAUAUAUGGAAGAACACCAGUGGCGAAGGCGGCUGCCUGGUCUGUAACUGACGCUGAGGCUCGAAAGUAUGGGUAGC